rnacentral:rRNA from 1 species
CAGUAGCCGCGGUAACACAGAGGGUGCGAGCGUUAAUCGGAUUUACUGGGCGUAAAGCGUGCGUAGGCGGCUAAUUGAGUCGGAUGUGAAAUCCCCGAGCUUAACUUGGGAAUUGCAUUCGAUACUGGUUAGCUAGAGUGUGGGAGAGGAUGGUAGAAUUCCAGGUGUAGCGGUGAAAUGCGUAGAGAUCUGGAGGAAUACCGAUGGCGAAGGCAGCCAUCUGGCCUAACACUGACGCUGAGGUACGAAAGCAUGGGGAGCAAACAGGAUUAGAUACCCCCGUAGUCCCUGUCUCUUAUAC